GAUGAACGCUGGCGGCGUGCCUAAUACAUGCAAGUCGAGCGAACAGACGAGGAGCUUUCUCCUCGGACGUUAGCGGCGGACGUGUGAGUAACACGUGGAGAACCUACCUAUAAGAUUGGGAUAACUUCGGGAAACCGGAUCUAAGACCGGAGAAUAUAUUGAACCGCAUGGUUCAAUAGUGAAAGACGGUGUUGCUGUCACUGAUAGAUGGAUCCGCGCCGCAUUAGCUCGUUGGUAAGGUAACGGCUUACCAAGGCAACGAUGCGUAGCCGCCCUGAGAGGGUGACCGGCCACACUGGAACAGAGACAGGGUCCACACUCCUACGGGAGGCAGCAGCCGGGACGCUUCCGGAAUGGCCGAACGCGUGACGGAGCACUGUCGCGUGAGUCAUGAACGUCUCCGGAUCCUAAAACUCUGUUAUGCGGGAAGAACAAAUGUGUAAGUAACUAUGCACGUCUUGACGGUACCUAACCAGAAAGCCCCGGCUAACUACGUG
rnacentral:rRNA from 1 species